rnacentral:lncRNA from 1 species
UAAUUUACUCACUCCAUCAUCUGCUGACAAGUAACCAAUGUCACUUCCUGUUUGGGCCAGCCAUAGCCUCAUAUUGAUCCGCCCAAAAGAAUUCCAGUACUGUUGUAAACCCUAACCAGUAACUAUAAAAUGUUGUGACCUGCAUUAUUAAUUACUUUUGAAUACAAUCAUGAUUCCUAUCCAAUCCAAUCAUAAAUUUUCAAUUUCAUAAAGGAAAAGAUGGAAUUAUAACAGAGAGACAAUCAAUCUACAUGUAAGAAAUUAGGAGCACCAUAACACAACAAAAUCAGAAUAAUUUUCCAUUAAUCUUGACAUGAAUCUCAUCUAAACUAACCCACAAAUUUAAAGGAUAACUCAAUAAAAAUAGAAUGUCAAAUGCUAAAGUAUCUUAACAUUCAAACUAAUUGUCACAGAGGAUACAGGUUCUUCACUAAAUAUUGGACCAUUACUAGAGAUAUCGAGUUAUCAUUAACCAACAUAAUUUGCAAUUAACUAGUACAAACUGACUCUCCAGCUAGAUACACACUAGUAAGAACUUAUUUUGACAACAUACUUCAUUAUCAUCUCGAAUAACAUCACAAAAAGAUCAAAAAACAAGUAAGAUUAGCACAUUUAUGGGCAUCCAAAUCAUUUCCUGCCCACAACAGGUAAUAAUCCAUCUAAAUUCUUACACAUAUAGAUUAGGGUUAAUCGGCCACAAAUACGAAGAUCCAGCAGCUUAAAAAAGGGGCAAUUGAACUGGCAGCAAUAAUUCAAGGGUUUCCCAUCAAAAUCAAGAUUUCGAACCAUUUCUUCAAUAAAUGAUCUAAUUACCAAUUGAUUCAUUAAUUCAGAAAGGAAGAGUUGAUAUCCACAUACCCUUUUGAGUGAAGUCUUGUUGGAGAGCAGGGAUGGAGCUCGAGUGAAGAAAUGGAAGGGAAAGAGGAAAAAUCGAAUCUUUAUAUUAGUAUGGAGGGAAGCGGUGAAGGCGGCGGGGAUUCAUAGCGGCUGCUCAUCGGAGUCGAGAGGGAGACGGUGAUAGAGGCUUGAGAGAUGAGGGAGGAUGACGGCGGUCCGGCUGACCGUUGCUGUCGACUGAAGAAGAAGAUGGUGGUUCAGGCGGUAAUCUCGUCGGAAAUUGAAAGGGGAGAAAGCUAGGGAUUUUUGGGGAUUUUUCAUGAUUUAGAGAGGGAACGAGAGGCAGGCAGAUGCGAGGCCUACAGAGGGGAUACCGUGGCAGUGGUGGCUGGCGGCGACAGUAGCCGCCGGGUUUGAAGGGAGUAAGGCAGUGGCAGAGAGAAGAAGAAGAUAGGAGUACCGCGAGAGAGAGAGAGAGUGGUGGGUGAGACUUCAAACUUAGGAGAAGAAGGUGAAUUAUGUAAUUAGGGUUUUUAUUUUUUAUAAUAUUAUUAAAGUUAAAAUUAAAAAUAAAUAUAAAAAGUAAUCAUAACAGUAUUUUAGCGCUCAUACAUAACGGUUAAAACAACCAUUAUAAAAAUACGCUCAUAGAUAACGGUUAUCUUAACGGUUCGAUAACACCGUUAUGUAUGCACCUAAUAGAUAACGCUUAUUCAUAACGAAUUACUUCGUACCGUUAUC